rnacentral:lncRNA from 10 species
UACAGCAAGUGGAGAAGGAUACACAUCACCUUCAAGAAGCUUGGCUGUGAAGGAGAGAAGAGAGGGCUGGAGCUUGAGAGAAAGGUGGGCUCUGACUUUCUUUUAUCUUUUUCUUUUCUUCUUUCUUUUUUUUUUUUUCCAAAGCAUUUCAGAUUUUUCCAAUGAAGAGCCCCUACUGGCACACAGGAAACAGCUCAGACACCAGGGAUCAGGGUUAUGAAAUGAAGUAUGCG